GGCUGUAGCUCAAUGGUAAAGUGCUUGCCUCGUAUGUGUGAGGCACUGAGUUCAAUCCUCAGCACCA
rnacentral:tRNA from 1 species